rnacentral:lncRNA from 1 species
GCAGUGGUAUCAACGAAGAGUGAUGAUUAUAUGCGGACAUUUUUAUGAUGGACACAGUUCGUAUACAUAAAUAUAUUUGUGCCUGUAAAAAGC